UAGGGAAUCUUCGGCAAUGGACGGAAGUCUGACCGAGCAACGCCGCGUGAGUGAAGAAGGUUUUCGGAUCGUAAAGCUCUGUUGUAAGAGAAGAACGAGUGUGAGAGUGGAAAGUUCACACUGUGACGGUAUCUUACCAGAAAGGGACGGCUAACUACGUGCCAGCAGCCGCGGUAAUACGUAGGUCCCGAGCGUUGUCCGGAUUUAUUGGGCGUAAAGCGAGCGCAGGCGGUUUAAUAAGUCUGAAGUUAAAGGCAGUGGCUUAACCAUUGCUCGCUUUGGAAACUGUUAAACUUGAGUGCAGAAGGGGAGAGUGGAAUUCCAUGUGUAGCGGUGAAAUGCGUAGAUAUAUGGAGGAACACCGGUGGCGAAAGCGGCUCUCUGGUCUGUAACUGACGCUGAGGCUCGAAAGCGUGGGGAGCAAACAGGAUUAGAUACCCUGGUAGUCCAUGCCGUAAACGAUGAGUGCUAGGUGUUGGAUCCUUUCCGGGAUUCAGUGCCGCAGCUAACGCAUUAAGCACUCCGCCUGGGGAGUACGACCGCAAGGUU
rnacentral:rRNA from 1 species